rnacentral:rRNA from 1 species
GACGUAGGGCGCGAGCGUUGUCCGGAAUUAUUGGGCGUAAAGAGCUCGUAGGCGGCUUGUCGCGUCGUCCGUGAAAACCCACAGCUCAACUGUGGGCUUGCGGUCGAUACGGGCAGGCUAGAGUUCGGUAGGGGAGACUGGAAUUCCUGGUGUAGCGGUGAAAUGCGCAGAUAUCAGGAGGAACACCGGUGGCGAAGGCGGGUCUCUGGGCCGAUACUGACGCUGAGGCGCGACAGCGUGGGGAGCAAACAGG